UUGCUCUUGCAUAUUGUGACGGAUUGGGCCAAGGCGGUGGCCUGUGAGGAGAGGGUUCCCCCGAGGCGAGUGACGGCUGCGGUCCUGACCUAUGGUUCUUACACGUUAGGGGGUUUGGACAUCAAUGCUAUUCUCGAUUUUGUGGCUUUCGUACCAUUCUCUUGGGAAUGAUUGUUCUGUGUGAUCUAUCAUGGUUAUUCUCUUCAGCAUCCAGUCCUAUGCUAGCAAGAGUGAUGACACAAGUGGAUAUGCCAAGCAAAUAUGUCCUGCUUGGAUCAUAUAUGCUUCUGUAACAACACUGAUUCAGAUUGAUACCUUCUAUUAAUUGGCUGGUGGCAGUGGCGACGCAUCAAGGUGCAAGGCAGCGGCGGCAAGUUCAUACUAUGGGAAAGGAAGAUCUCCUACUAUUUUUUAUGCUCCAUGGCAUAGACAUUUGAUUAAGUCAAAGGCAACAUGACUAUCUGAUAUGUUAUCGAUGUCUAAAACCCAUCUUAAGUUUUGUAUCUUAUUGAUUCGGUCAUUUACUCUGGUAAAAAGUGUUAAUGAUGGAGAAAUGGGUGAGUUAAAUAAUGCAAACCAGCAAACUAUAGAUGGAUUAGUUACGCGUGCAUCUAACUGAAGUUUGUAUAUCAUGACGAUCAUCACUUCUAAGUGAAUACUGUCUAUUACCAGUCAAAUGUACCUAUCUAUUCUCUUUGCCUUUCACCUGCCUUUAUAUAAUGUUUGU